rnacentral:rRNA from 1 species
UACGUAGGGUGCGAGCGUUAAUCGGAAUUACUGGGCGUAAAGGGUGCGCAGGCGGUCUUGCAAGUCAGAUGUGAAAGCCCCGGGCUUAACCUGGGAAUUGCGUUUGAAACUACAAGGCUAGAGUGCAGCAGAGGGGAGUGGAAUUCCAUGUGUAGCAGUGAAAUGCGUAGAGAUGUGGAAGAACACCGAUGGCGAAGGCAGCUCCCUGGGUUGACACUGACGCUCAUGCACGAAAGCGUGGGGAGCAAAC